rnacentral:rRNA from 1 species
AUGGCCCGAAAAGUGUGAUAGGGUUAUCCCGAGUGCUGUCCGAUGAGGAUGGCUUUUCCCCGGUGUAAGGCGUUGGGAGAAUAAAGGGGGGGCAAGACCGGUGUCAGCCGCCGCGGUAAUACCAGCCCCCUGAGUGGUAGGGAUGAUUAUUUGGCCUAAAGCGUCCGUAGCCGGCUUAGCCAGUCUUUCGUGAAAUCCAGUGACAUAAUCAUUGGGCGUGCGAGAGAUACUACUAGGCUUGAGGACGGGAGAGGUCGACGGUAUUUCGGGGGUAGGGGUAAAAUCCUAUAAUCCUCGGAGGACCACCAGUGGCGAAGGCGGUCGACUAGAACGUGCCUGACGGUGAUGGACGAAAGCUGGGGGAGCAAACCGGAUUAGACACCCGGGUAGUCCCAGCUGUAAACGACGCGGGCUAGGUGUUGGGGCAGCUACGAGCUGCUCCAGUGCCGCAGAGAAGUCAUUAAGCCCGCCGCCUGGGAAGUACGGUCGCAAGACUGAAACUUAAAGGAAUUGGCGGGGG